rnacentral:sRNA from 1 species
GAAUUGUUACUUUUGUACCUGUCUUUCAGAUUUUUGUGUAUUUAUUUGAAAUUCAGUCCACAAACAGCAAAGUCAAACAGAAUCUAUGGUUGACCUGAUACAUGCAUUGCCUUGGUCACUAUAGACUAUAUUCACAAGGGUUUCAAAAAAGUUGUAUUUCAUUUUAUAAAGGUCUAUCACCACUCAUGUAAGUCUAUAUAUUUUUGUUUUUGUUAUGUUUUUGCAAUAUAUAUAUGCAGAUCAUUUUGUAAAUUUUUCAUGUUUUGUGUUUUAUUUGUAAAUAAAUUAUCAUUUUAU